AUACGGAGGAUGCGAGCGUUAUCCGGAUUUAUUGGGUUUAAAGGGUGCGCAGGCGGCCAUUUAAGUCAGCGGUUAAAUCGUGGGGCUCAACCCCAUUCUGCCGUUGAUACUGGGUGGCUUGAUUGCGGUCGAGGUUGGCGGAAUUCGUUGUGUAGCGGUGAAAUGCAUAGAUAUGACGAAGAACACCGAUUGCGUAGGCAGCUGACCAGACCGCAAAUGACGCUCAUGCACGAAAGUGUGGGGAUCGAACAGGAUUAGAUACCCUGGUAGUCCACGCAGUAAACGAUGAUGACUAACCGUCGGCGAUAGACCGCCGGUGGCCAAGCGAAAGCGAUAAGUCAUCCACCUGGGGAGUACGACCGCAAGGUUGAAACUCAAAGGAAUUGACGGGG
rnacentral:rRNA from 1 species